AUGAAUCGCUUUGUACAAAUUUUAAAAUUGUCCAAGAAAAACAAAUAUACUUAGUACCUAAAAAUAUUAAAAAACAAAUUGCAUGUUAAAAAUUAAUGUUGAAGUGUUAGGUACCUAUCAUCUAUAAGAUUAUAGAAAAAAUGUAUGUAAUAUUAUAAAACUAGUGGUUUAAGGAGUUUUUUGUCUUUCAUAAAAAUUGUUAAAAUUUGAAAAUGUGUUCAUUCUGCAUUUAGUGAUUCAUAUAUGAAUAAUAUAUUAGGGUGGUUCUUAUUUGGAUGAUGGUGAAAUUCUUUUUUUGACGCCCUCUAAUUUUGUUCGUAAGAAAAAACUGAGCCCUAUUUGAGCUUCCUAGGUUAAUUUUUUCGUUCUCCUGUAACGAGGUAAAGUUUUCCAUUUGAACUAUACAACAAUACAAGUAUACAAAGCAUUCUACAUCACUUUCUUUCUGUUAAUUAUUAAUUUUUUCUCGGUUUCCUUAAAUUUGGUCAAAAUAUCGGGAAAAUCAAUGAAUUUUUAGCGUGGUAGAUCUUUGAAAAUCGUAUAAACACAUCGAAUAUGAGUCAUUCUGUAUUAACUAUCAAUGUAAACUCUAUUAAUAAUUAUUUAAUCGAUAAACAUUAAUUUUAUCUAAUUAAUAUUAACACUUUAUAUUAAAAUUAUUAAAGUUUACAAUAAUUAAAGUUAUUGUAUGGUUUAUUUAAAAUAACAUAGGUAUUUGCUACAUCAACCGAAAACGGGUGACAACAUGUGAUUACAUUAAUAGUGACAACUUUGGAAUUGAUAUUUUUCCGAUACUCGCGUAAUACACAAUCUGGUUUCAUUUAGUUUGUGAUAUACUGAAUACUGAUAUAGGUACCUACGUAACUAACAGUAACUAAUCGGUUAUUGUAAUUCCAAAUUUAAGGAAAUCGAGAAAAAAUAAAUAAUUUACAGAAAGAAAGUGGCAUAGAAUGUUUGAUAUUCUUAUACAUUUGUUUUCAUCCCCUUAUAAAGUAUUUUCUCUUCGAUAAUUUCCAUGCGAGAAAAAUUGUUUACGUUUAUUUGUUAACAAUUCGUUAUGCCUUAUGUAAACAAAAUUCAGAAUAAACGUAAAACCAAUGUAUUUUAAAUGGAAAAUCUUACUUCGUUACAGGGGGAUUUAGUCCUAGGAAGCUCAAAUAGGGCUUAAAAUAUAUAUUUUUUUUUCGAAUAAAGUUAGGGAACGUCAAAAAAAUGUUCACCAUCGCCCAACUAAAAACCACCCUGGUAUAUACCUACAUAAAAAUUUUAGCCACCCACAAACGGUCUCAAAAUCAACAAAAGUAAACACAUACUAUACUGAAACGCCGCUUGUAUAUGUAUUUACACAUUAUAUUAUUUACAUAUUAUUAUUAUUUACAGGGUGUUGGUAAAAACGUUUGUGUACGCGCAUAUCGCUUAUCUCGUUAUUACUACUAAUGUAAUAAUUAUACUAAUUAGGGAUUUGUCCCGGAUCCCGGGAAUAAAGACCAAUAGCCCUGCGAUUAUGUUAUGAGCUCUGAGUUUCAGACCGAUCGUCCGCGUAUAUUGCGUCAACCAGGGGCGAUUUUUGACUGGUCGCAAAUGAGAGGCCGAAAAGAAAUUUCCCUUUUUCAAUUAUAUUGUUAACGAACAAUCAUAACGAUAAACGACAAAAUCACGGCUAUAAGUAAUAGGUAUUUUAACG